AUGCACGCUGGCGGCGUGCCUAAUACAUGCCAGUCGAGCGAACAGACGAGGAGCUUGCUCCUCUGACGUUAGCGGCGGACGGGUGAGUAACACGUGGAUAACCUACCUAUAAGACUGGGAUAACUUCGGGAAACCGGAGCUAAUACCGGAUAAUAUAUUGAACCGCAUGGUUCAAUAGUGAAAGACGGUUUUGCUGUCACUUAUAGAUGGAUCCGCGCCGCAUUAGCUAGUUGGUAAGGUAACGGCUUACCAAGGCAACGAUGCGUAGCCGACCUGAGAGGGUGAUCGGCCACACUGGAACUGAGACACGGUCCAGACUCCUACGGGAGGCAGCAGUAGGGAAUCUUCCGCAAAGGGCGAAAGCCUGACGGAGCAACGCCGCGUGAGUGAUGAAGGUCUUCGGAUCGUAAAACUCUGUUAUUAGGGAAGAACAAAUGUGUAAGUAACUAUGCACGUCUUGACGGUACCUAAUCAGAAAGUCACGGCUAACUACGUG
rnacentral:rRNA from 1 species